CAGUAGCCACGGGAAUACGAAGGGUGCAAGCGUUAAUCGGAAUUACUGGGCGUAAAGCGUGCGUAGGCGGUGAGUUAAGUCUGCUGUGAAAUCCCCGGGCUCAACCUGGGAAUGGCAGUGGAUACUGGCUCGCUAGAGUGUGUCAGAGGAUGGUGGAAUUCCCGGUGUAGCGGUGAAAUGCGUAGAGAUCGGGAGGAACAUCAGUGGCGAAGGCGGCCAUCUGGGACAACACUGACGCUGAGGCACGAAAGCGUGGGGAGCAAACAGGAUUAGAGACCCCCGUAGUCCCUGUCUCUUAUAA
rnacentral:rRNA from 1 species